rnacentral:tRNA from 1 species
GCCGGGAUGGCGGAACUGGUAGACGCGCCGGACUCAAAAUCCGGUUCCCGCGAGGGAGUGUCGGUUCGAUUCCGACCCUCGGUACCA